CAGAUGUCUUGCAAUGUGGUCGAGAGUUCUUCUCAACAAUCGAUGGGGGCUGUUCCAGAACUGUCUGAGUCGAAUGACUUUAGCUGCAAACAAAAACUCCCACUAUUUUGGGAGCAGCUGUCAGCAAACCUGAGAUCCAACAGCACGGAGGCUGUUCCAUCUAAUUUUGUGGUUAGGGAUCUUGUAAUGCCCCUGCCGACCGUCACGUGUAGCUCAGAUCGACAUCAGGCUGGCUGCUUGAUGUUCGACAUGCUGGCUGUGGAAAUCUAUGACAGCUUGAAACUGAAGACAAUUUUCG